rnacentral:rRNA from 1 species
GCUUGUCUCAAAGAUUAAGCCAUGCAUGUCUUAGUGUAAAUAACUCUUAUGAAACUGCGAAUGGCUCAUUAAAUCAGUUAUCAAAUACGUGAUGGUCGCCUACUACAUGGAUAACCGUAGUAAUUCUAGAGCUAAUACAUGCACAAAGGCCCACUCACGUGGGUUGUGAUUAUUAGAUUCAAACCGGCCUCGUUCUGGUGAUUCAUAAUAACUGUUCGGAUCGUAUGGCUUUUUGCCGACGACAGAUCAUUCAAAUUUCUGCCCUAUCAGCUUUCGACGGUACUGUAGUGGACUACCGUGGCAUUAACGGGUGACGGAGAAUUAGGGUUCGAUUCCGGAGAGGGAGCCUGAGAAAUGGCUACCACAUCCAAGGAAGGCAGCAGG